GAGGAGAGAAUCCUAAGGUGUGCGAGAGAACUCUGGUUAAGGAACUCGGCAAAAUGACCCCGUAACUUCGGGAGAAGGGGUGCUUUCUUAACGGAAAGCCGCAGUGAAUAGGCCCAAGCGACUGUUUAGCAAAAACACAGCUCUCUGCGAAGCCGUAAGGCGAAGUAUAGGGGGUGACACCUGCCCGGUGCUGGAAGGUUAAGGAGAGGGGUUAGCGUAAGCGAAGCUCUGAACUGAAGCCCCAGUAAACGGCGGCCGUAACUAUAACGGUCCUAAGGUAGCGAAAUUCCUUGUCGGGUAAGUUCCGACCCGCACGAAAGGUGUAACGAUUUGGGCACUGUCUCAACCAGAGACUCGGUGAAAUUAUAGUACCUGUGAAGAUGCAGGUUACCCGCGACAGGACGGAAAGACCCCGUGGAGCUUUACUGUAGCCUGAUAUUGAAUUUUGGUACAGUUUGUACAGGAUAGGCGGGAGCCAUUGAAACCGGAGCGCUAGCUUCGGUGGAGGCGCUGGUGGGAUACCGCCCUGACUGUAUUGAAAUUCUAACCUACGGGUCUUAUCGACCCGGGAGACAGUGUCAGGUGGGCAGUUUGACUGGGGCGGUCGCCUCCUAAAGUGUAACGGAGGCGCCCAAAGGUUCCCUCAGAAUGGUUGGAAAUCAUUCGUAGAGUGCAAAGGCAUAAGGGAGCUUGACUGCGAGACCUACAAGUCGAGCAGGGACGAAAGUCGGGCUUAGUGAUCCGGUGGUUCCGCAUGGAAGGGCCAUCGCUCAACGGAUAAAAGCUACCCCGGGGAUAACAGGCUUAUCUCCCCCAAGAGUCCACAUCGACGGGGAGGUUUGGCACCUCGAUGUCGGCUCAUCGCAUCCUGGGGCUGUAGUCGGUCCCAAGGGUUGGGCUGUUCGCCCAUUAAAGCGGUACGCGAGCUGGGUUCAGAACGUCGUGAGACAGUUCGGUCCCUAUCCGUCGUGGGCGUAGGAAAUUUGAGAGGAGCUGUCCUUAGUACGAGAGGACCGGGAUGGACGCACCGCUGGUGUACCAGUUGUUCUGCCAAGGGCAUAGCUGGGUAGCUAUGUGCGGAAGGGAUAAGUGCUGAAAGCAUCUAAGCAUGAAGCCCCCCUCAAGAUGAGAUUUCCCAUAGCGUAAGCUAGUAAGAUCCCUGAAAGAUGAUCAGGUUGAUAGGUUCGAGGUGGAAGCAUGGUGACAUGUGGAGCUGACGAAUACUAAUAGAUCGAGGACUUAACCAUAUAA
rnacentral:rRNA from 1 species